rnacentral:rRNA from 1 species
AAGUUAGUGGCAGACGGGUGAGUAAUGCAUAGGAAUCUACCUAGUAGUAUGGGAUAGCCACUAGAAAUGGUGGGUAAUACUGUAUAAUCCCUGCGGGGGAAAGAUUUAUCGCUAUUAGAUGAGCCUAUGUUAGAUUAGCUAGUUGGUAGGGUAAAGGCCUACCAAGGCAGUGAUCUAUAGCUGGUCUGAGAGGAUGAUCAGCCACACUGGAACUGAGAUACGGUCCAGACUCCUACGGGAGGCAGCAGUGGGGAAUAUUGGACAAUGGGCGCAAGCCUGAUCCAGCUAUGCCGCGUGAGUGAGGAAGGCCUUAGGGUUGUAAAACUCUUUCAGUGGGGAAGAUAAUGACGGUACCCACAGAAGAAGUCCCGGCAAACUCCGUGCCAGCAGCCGCGGUAAUACGGAGGGGGCAAGCGUUGUUCGGAAUUAUUGGGCGUAAAGGGCAUGUAGGCGGUUCGGUAAGUUAAAG